UACGGAGGGUGCGAGCGUUGUCCGGAAUCACUGGGCGUAAAGGGCGCGUAGGCGGCAGGCCAAGCGUGCGGUGAAAGUCCGGGGCUCAACCCCGGAUCUGCCGUGCGGACUGGUUUGCUAGAGCACUGUAGAGGUGAGUGGAAUUCCGGGUGUAGCGGUGGAAUGCGUAGAGAUCCGGAAGAACACCGGUGGCGAAGGCGGCUCGCUGGGCAGUGGCUGACGCUGAGGCGCGACAGCGUGGGGAGCAAACAGG
rnacentral:rRNA from 1 species